GCAUAAUCAAUUGCCUUCUAAUUAAAGGCUUGUAUGAAUGGAUAAACAAGAAUAAAACUGUCUCACUUAGAAUUAUCCCAACCUGUAAAUUAGGUGCAAAUCCCUAUAUUUUAAUAAAAGACAAGAAGACCCUAUAGAGCUUUAUUUAUAAAAGUUAUAACACUAAAAUAUAAAUUUAGUUGGGACAACUAAAAAACAUUAAAACCUUUUUACUAAAUUACAUAAACCCACAAAUGUAAAAGAACUAAGCUACCUUAGGGAUAACAGGUUAAUUUUGCUAGAGAGACCACAUUGACAGCAAAGAUUGA
rnacentral:rRNA from 1 species